rnacentral:rRNA from 1 species
GACGAACGCUGGCGGCGGUGCCUAACACAUGCCAAAGUCGAGCGGAGACAGUGAGUAGCUUGCUACGAGCUGUUUUAGCGGCGGACGGGGUGAGUAACGCGUGAGCAACCUUUCCCAGACAGGGGAAUAACACACCGAAAGGUGUACUAAUACCGCAUAAAGACCACGGGAUCGACAUGGUUCUGACGGUAAAAGAUUUAUCGGUUUGGGGUGGGCUCGCGUCCGAUUAGGUAGUUGGUGAGGUAACGGCCCACCAAGCCGACGAUCGGUAGCCGACCUGAGAGGGUGAUCGGCCACAUUGGGACUGAGACACGGCCCAAACUCCUAC